GGUUACGGGGUUAGUGUUGUUGUUUGUUAGGGGGUUAGUGUUGUUUGUUGUUAGGAGGUUAGGGUUGUUUGUUGUUACAGGGUUAGGUUAGUUUCUUGUUAGGGGUUUAGUGUUGUUUGUUGUUAGGGGGUUAGUGUUUGUUGUUAGGGGUUUAGUGUUGUUUCCUGUUGGGGUUUAGUGGUUUUUGUUGUUAGGGUGUUAGUGUUGUUUGUUGUUAGGGGUUUAGGGUUGUUUGUUGUUAGGGUUUUAAGGUUGUUUGUUGUUAGGAGGUUAGGGUUGUUUGUUGUUACGGGGUUAGGUUAGUUUCUUGUUAGGGGUUUAGUGUUGUUUGUUGUUAGGGGUUAGUGUUUGUUGUUAGGGCUUUAGGGUUGUUUCUUGUUGGGGUUAAGUAGUUUUUGUUGUUAGGGUGUUGGUGUUGUUUGUUGUUAGGGGGUUAGAAUUGUUUGCUGUUAGGGGUUUAAGGUUGUUUGUUGUUAGGGGUUUAAGGUUGUUUGUUGUUAAGAGGUUAGGGUUGUUUGUUGUUACGGGGUUAGGUUAGUUUCUUGUUAGGGGUUUAGUGUUGUUUGCUGUUAGCGGUUUAGGGUUGUUUCCUGUUGGGGUUUAGUAGUUUUUGUUGUUAGGGUGUUAGUGUUGUUUGUGGUUAGGGGGUUAGUGUUGUUUGUGGUUAGGGGGUGAGCGUUGUUGUUUGUUAGGGGGUUAGGAUUGUUUGUUGUUAGGGGUUUAGGGUUGUUUGUUGUUAGGGGGUUAAGGUUGUUUGUUGUUAGGAGGUUAGGGAUCUUUGUUGUUACAGGGUUAGGUUAGUUUCUUGUAAGGGGUUUAGUGUUGUUUGUUGUUAGGGGGUUAGUGUUUGUUGUUAGGGGUUUAGUGUUGUUUCUUGUUGGGGUUUAGUAAUUUUUGUUGUUAGGGUGUUAGUGUUGUUUGUGGUUAGGGGGUUAGUGUUGUUUGUUCUUACGGGGUUAGUGUUGUUUGUGGUUAGGGUGUUAGUGUUGUUUGUGGUUAGGGGGUGAGAGUUGUUGGUUGUUAGGGGGUUAGGAUUGUUUGUUGUUAGGUGUUUAGGGUUGUUUGUUGUUAGGGGGUUAAGGUGGUUUGUUGUUAGGAGGUUAGGGCUGUUUGUUGUUACAGGGUUAGGUUAGUUUCUUGUUAGGGGUUUAGUGUUGUUUGUUGUUAGGGGGUUAGUGUUUGUUGUUAGGGGUUUAGUGUUGUUUCUUGUUGGGGUUUAGUGGUUUUUGUUGUUAAGGUGUUAGUGUUGUUUGUUGUUAGGGGUUUAGGGUUGUUUGUUGUUAGGGGUUUAAGGUUGUUUGCUCUUAGGAGGUUAGGGUUGUUUGUUUUUACGGGGUUAGGUUAGUUUCUUGUUAGGGGUUUAGUGUUGUUUGUUGUUAGGGGGUUAGUGUUUGUUGUUAGGGGUUUAGGGUUGUUUCUUGUUGGGGUUUAGUAGUUUUUGUUGUUAGGGUGUUAGUGUUGUUUGUGGUUAGGGGGUUAGUGUUGUUGUUUGUUAGGGGGUUAGGGUUGUUUGUUGUUAGGAGGUUAGGGUUGUUUGUUUUUACAGGGUUAGGUUAGUUUCUUGUUAGGGGUUUAGUGUUGUUUGUUGUUAGGGGGUUAGUGUUUGUUGUUAGGGGUUUAGUGGUGUUUCUUGUUGGGGUUUAGUGGUUUUUGUUGUUAGGGUGUUAGUGUUGUUUGUUGUUAGGGGUUUAGGGUUGUUUGUUGUUAGUGGUUUAAAGGUUGUUUGUUGUUAGGAGGUUAGGGUUGUUUGUUGUUACGGGGUUAGGUAAGUUUCUUGUUAGGGGUUUAGUGUUGUUUGUUGUUAGGGGGUUAGUGUUUGUUGUUAGGGGUUUAGGGUUGUUUCUUGUUGGGGUUUAGUGUUUUUUGUUGUUAGGGUGUUAGUGUUGUUUGUUGUUAGGGGUUUAGGGUUGUUUGUUGUUAGGGGUUUAAGGUUGUUUGUUGUUAGUAGGUUAGGGUUGUUUGUUGUUACGGGGUUAGGUUAGUUUCUUGUUAGGGGUUUAGUGUUGUUUGUUGUUAGGGGGUUAGUGUUUGUUGUUAGGGGUUUAGGGUUGUUUCUUGUUGGGGUUUAGUAGUUUUUGUUGCUAGGGUGUUAGUAUUGUUUGUGUUUAGGGAGUUAGUGUUGUUGUUUGUUAGGGGGUAAGGGUUGUUUGUUGUUAGGAGGUUAGGGUUGUUUGUUGUUACAGGGUUAGGUUAGUUUCUUGUUAGGGGUUUAGUGUUGUUUGUUGUUGGGGGUUAGUAUUUGUUGUUAGGGGUUUAGUGUUGUUUCUUGUUGGGGUUUAGUGGUUUUUGUUGUUAGGGUGUUAGUGUUGUUUGUUGUUAGGGGUUUAGGGUUGUUUGUUGUUAGGAGUUUAAGGUUGUUUGUUGUUAGGAGGUUAGGGUUGUUUGUUGUUAUGGGGUUAGGUUAGUUUCUUGUUAGGGGUUUAGUGUUGUUUUGUUAGGGGGUUAGUGUUUGUUGUUAGGGGUUUAGGGUUGUUUCUUGUUGGGUUUAGUGGUUUUUCUUGUUAGGGUGUUAGUGUUGUUUGUUGUUAGGGGGUUAGUGUUGUUUGUUCUUACGGGGUUAGUGUUGUUUGUGGUUAGGGUGUUAGUGUUGUUUGUGGUUAGGGGGUGUGCGUUGUUGGUUGUUAGGGGGUUAGUGUUGUUUGUUGUUAGGAGGUUAGGGUUGUUUGUUGUUACAGGGUUAGGUUAGUUUCUUGUUAGGGGUUUAGUGUUGUUUGUUGUUAGGGGGUUAGUGUUUGUUGUUAGGGGUUUAGUGCUGUUUCUUGUUGAGGUUUAGUGUUUUUUGUUGUUAGGGUGUUAGUGCUUUUUGUUGUUAGGGGUUUAGGGUUGUUUGUUGUUAGGGGUUUAAGGUUGUUUGUUGUUAGGAGGUUAGGGUUGUUUGUUGUUACAGGGUUAGGUUAGUUUCUUGUUAGGGGUUUAGUGUUGUUUGUUGUUAGGGGGUUAGUGUUUGUUGUUAGGGGUUUAGGGUUGUUUCUUUUUGGGGUUUAGUAGUUUUUGUUGUUAGGGUGUUAGUGUUGUUUGUGGUUAGGGGGUUAGUGUUGUUUGUUCUUACGGGGUUAGUGUUGUUUGUGGUUAGGGUGUUAGUGUUGUUUGUGGUUAGGGGGUGAGAGUUGUUGGUUGUUAGGGGGUUAGGAUUGUUUGUUUUUAGGGGUUUAGGGUUGUUUGUUGUUAGGGGGUUAAGGUGGUUUGUUGUUAGGAGGUUAGGGCUAUUUGUUGUUACAGGGUUAGGUUAGGUUCUUGUUAGGGGUUUAGUGUUGUUUGUUGUUAGGGUGUUAGUGUUUGUUGUUAGGGGUUUAGUGUUGUUUCUUGUUGGGGUUUAGUGGUUUUUGUUGUUAAGGUGUUAGUGUUGUUUGUUGUUAGGGGUUUAGGGUUGUUUGUUGUUAGGGGUUUAAGGUUGUUUGCUGUUAGGAGGUUAGGGUUGUUUGUUUUUACGGGGUUAGGUUAGUUUCUUGUUAGGGGUUUAGUGUUUUUUGUUGUUAGGGGGUUAGUGUUUGUUGUUAGGGGUUUAGGGUUGUUUUUUGUUGGGGUUUAGUAGUUUUUGUUGUUAGGGUGUUAGUGUUGUUUGUGGUUAGGGGGUUAGUGUUGUUGUUUGUUAGGGGGUUAGGGUUGUUUGUUGUUAGGAGGUUAGGGUUGUUUGUUUUUACAGGGUUAGGUUAGUUUCUUGUUAGGGGUUUAGUGUUGUUUGUUGUUAGGGGGUUAGUGUUUCUUGAUAGGGGUUUAGUGGUGUUUCUUGUUGGGGUUUAGUGGUUUUUGUUGUUAGGGUGUUAGUGUUGUUUGUUGUUAGGGGUUUAGGGUUGUUUGUUGUUAGGGGUUUAAAGGUUGUUUGUUGUUAGUAGGUUAGGGUUGUUUGUUGUUACGGGGUUAGGUAAGUUUCUUGUUAGGGGUUUAGUGUUGUUUGUUGUUAGGGGGUUAGUGUUUGUUGUUACGGGUUUAGGGUUGUUUCUUGUUGGGGUUUAGUGUUUUUUGUUGUUAGGGUGUCAGUGUUGUUUGUUGUUAGGGGUUUAGGGUUGUUUGUUGUUAGGCGUUUAAGGUUGUUUGUUGUUAGGAGGUUAGGGUUGUUUGUUGUUACGGGGUUAGGUUAGUUUCUUGUUGGGGUUUAGUGUUGUUUGUUGUUAGGGGGUUAGUGUUUGUUGUUAGGGGUUUAGGGUUGUUUCUUCUUGGGGUUUAGUAGUUUUUGUUGUUAGGGUGUUAGUGCUGUUUGUGGUUAGGGGGUUAGUGUUGUUGUUUGUUAGGGGGUUAGGGUUGUUUGUUGUUAGGGGUUUAGAGUAGUUUAUUUUUAGGGGGUUAGUGUUGUUUGUUGUUAGGUUGUUAGGAUUGUUGUUAGGGGGUUAGUGGUGUUUGUUGUUAGGGUGUUAGUGUUUUUUGUUGUUGGGGGGUUAGUGUUGUUUCUUGUUAGAGAGUUAGGGUUCUUUGUUGUUAGGGGCUUAGGGUUGUUUGUUGUUAGUGGGUUAGAGUGGUUUGUUGUUGGGGGUUAGGGUUGUUUCUUUUUAGGGUGUUCGGGUUGUUGUUAGGUGGUUAGUGUUGUUUCUAUUUAGGGGUUUCGGGUUGUUUCUUGUUGAGGUUUAGUGGUUUUUGUUGUUAGGGUGUUAGUGUUGUUUGUGGUUAGGGGGUUAGUGUUGUUUGUAUUUAGGGGUUUAGGGUUGUUUCUUGUUGGCCUUUAGUGGUUUUUGUUGUUAGGGGGUUAGUGUUGUUUGUUCUUACGGGGUUAGUGUUGUUUGUGGUUAGGGUGUUAGUGUUGUUUGUGGUUAGGGGGUGAGCGUUGUUGGUUGUUAGGGGGUUAGUGUUGUUUGUUGUUAGGGGUUUAGGGUUGUUUGUUGUUAGGGGUUUAAGGUUGUUUGGUGUUAGCAGGUUAGGGUUUUUUCUUGUUACGGGGUUAGGUUAGUUUCUUGUUAGGGGUUUAGUGUUGUUUGUUGUUAGGGGGUUAGUGUUUGUUGUUAGGGGUUUAGUGUUGUUUCUUGUUGGGGUUUAGUAGUUUUUGUUGUUAGGGUGUUAGUGUUGUUUGUGGUUAGGGGGAUUAGUGUUCUUUGUUCUUACGGGGUUAGUGUUGUUUGUGGUUAGGGUGUUAGUGUUGUUUGUGGUUAGGGGGUGAGCGUUGUUGGUUGUUAGGGGGUUAGGAUUGUUUGUUGUUAGGGGUUUAGUGUUGUUUGUUGUUAGGGGUUUAAGGUUGUUUGUUGUUAGAAGGUUAGGGUUGUUUGUUGUUACAGGGUUAGGUUAGUUUCUUGUUAGGGAUUUAGUGUUGUUUGUUUUUAGGGGGUUAGUGUUUGUUGUGAGGGGUUUAGUGUUGUUUCUUGUUGGGGUUUAGUGGUUUUUGUUGUUAGGGUGUUAGUGGUGUUUGUGGUUAGGGGGUUAGUGUUGUUGUUUGUUAGGGGGUUAGGGUUGUUUGUUGUUAGAAGGUUAGGGUUGUUUGUUGUUAGGGGUUUAGGGUUGUUUGUUGUUAGGGGGUUAGGGUUGUUUGUUGUUAGGGGUUUAGAGUAGUUUAUUUUUAGGGGGUUAGUGUUGUUUGUUGUUAGGUUGUUAGGAUUGUUGUUAGGGGGUUAGUGGUGUUUGUUGUUAGGGGGUUAGUGUUUUUUGUUGUUAGGGGGUUAGUGUUGUUUCUUUUUAUAGAGUUAGGGUUCUUUGUUGUUAGGGGCUUAGGCUUGUUUGUUGUUAGUGGGUUAGAGUAGUUUGUUGUUGGGGGUUAGGGUUGUUUGUUGUUAGGGGAUUAGGAUUGUUGUUAGGUGGUUAGUGUUGUUUCUAUUUAGGGGUUUCGGGUUGUUUCUUGUUGAGGUUUAGUGGUUUUUGUUGUUAGGGUGUUAGUGUUGUUUGUGGUUAGGGGGUUAGUGUUGUUUGUAUUUAGGGGUUUAGGGUUGCUCCUUGUUAGGCUUUAGUGGUUUUUGUUGUUAGGGUGUUAGUGUUGUUUGUUGUUAGGGGGUUAGUGUUGUUUGUUCUUACGGGGUUAGUGUUGUUUUUGGUUAGGGUGUUAGUGUUGUUUGUGGUUAUUGGGUGAGCGUUGUUGGUUGUUAGGGGGUUAGUGUUGUUUGUAUUUAGGGGUUUAGGGUUGUUUCUUGUUGGGGUUUAGUGGUUUUUGUUGUUAGGGUGUUAGUGUUGUUUGUUGUUAGGGGGUUAAUGUUGUUUGUUGUUAGGAGGUUAGGGUUGUUUGUUGUUACAGGGUUAGGUUAGUUUCUUGUUAGGGGUUUAGUGUUGUUUGUUGUUAGGGGGUUAGUGUUUGUUGUUAGGGGUUUAGGGUUGUUUCUUGUUGGGGUUUAGUGGUUUUUGUUGUUAGGUGUUAGUGUUGUUUGUUGUUAGGGGUUUAGAGUUGUUUGUUGUUAGGGGUUUAAGGUUGUUUGUUGUUAGGAGGGUAGGGUUGUUUGUUGUUACGGGGUUAGGUUAGUUUCUUGUUAGGGGUUUAGUGUUGUUUGUUGUUAGGGGGUUAGUGUUUGUUGUUAGGGGUUUAGGGUUGUUUCUUUUUGGGUUUAGUAGUUUUUGUUGUUAGGGUGUUAGUGUUGCUUGUUGUUAUGGGGUUAGUGUUGUUUGUUCUUACGGGGUUAGUGUUGUUUGUGGUUAGGGUGUUAGUGUUGUUUGUGGUUAGGGGGUGAGAGUUGUUGGUUGUUAGAGGGUUAGGAUUGUUUGUUGUUAGGGGUUUAGUGUUGUUUGUUGUUAGGGGGUUAGUGUUUGUUGUUAGGGGUUUAGUGUUGUUUCUUGUUGGGGUUUAGUGGUUUUUGUUAUUAGGGUGUUAGUGUUGUUUGUUGUUAGGGGUUUAGGGUUGUUUGUUGUUAGGGGUUUAAGGUUGUUUGUUGUUAGGAGGUUAGGGUUGUUUGUUGUUACGGGGUUAGGUUAGUUUCUUGUUAGGGGUUUAGUGUUGUUUGUUGUUAGGGGGUUAGUGUUUGUUGUUAGGGGUUUAGGGUUGUUUCUUGUUCGGGUUUAGUAGUUUUUGGGGUUAGGGUAUUAGUGUUGUUUGUGGUUAGGGGGUUAGUGUUGUUGUUUGUUAGGGGGUUAGGGUUGUUUGUUGUUAGGAGGUUAGGGUUGUUUGUUGUUACAGGGUUAGGUUAGUUUCUUGUUAGGGGUUUAGUGUUGUUUGUUGUUAGGGGGUUAGUGUUUGUUGUUAGGGGUUUAGUCUUGUUUCUUAUUGGGGUUUAGUGUUUUUUGUUGUUAGGGUGUUAGUGUUGUUUGUUGUUAGAGGUUUAGGGUUGUUUGUUGUUAGGGGUUUAAGGUUGUUUGUUGUUAGGAGGUUAGGGUUGUUUGUUGUUACGGGGUUAGGUUAGUUUCUUGUUAGGGAUUUAGUGUGGUUUGUUGCUAGGGGGUUAGUGUUUGUUGUUAGGGGAUUAGGGUUGUUUCUUUUUGGGGUUUAGUAGUUUUUGUUGUUAGGGUGUUAGUGUUGUUUGUGGUUAGGGUGUUAGUGUUGUUUGUGGUUAGGGGGUGAGAGUUGUUGGUUGUUAGGGGGUUAGGAUUGUUUGUUGUUAGGGGUUUAGGGUUGUUUGUUGUUAGGGGGUUAAGGUGGUUUGUUGUUAGGAGGUUAGGGUUGUUUGUUGUUACAGGGUUAGGUUAGUUUCUUGUUAGGGGUUUAGUGUUGUUUGUUGUUAGGGGGUUAGUGUUUGUUGUUAGGGGUUUAUUGUUGUUUCUUGUUGGGUUUUAGUGGUUUUUGUUGUUAGGGUGUUAGUGUUGUUUGUUGUUAGGGGUUUAGGGUUGUUUGUUGUUAGGGGUUUAAGGUUGUUUGUUGUUAGGAGGUUAGGGUUGUUUGUUGUUACGGGGUUAGGUUAGUUUCUUGUUAGGGGUUUAGUGUUGUUUGUUGUUAGGGGGUUAGUGUUUGUUGUUAGGGGUUUAGGGUUGUUUCUUGUUGGGGUUUAGUAGUUUUUGUUCUUAGGGUGUUAGUGUUGUUUGUUGUUAGGGGGUUAGUGUUGUUUGUUCUUACGGGGUUAGUGUUGUUUGUGGUUAGGGUGUUAGUGUUGUUUGUGGUUAGGGGGCGAGCGUUGUUGGUUGUUAGAGGGUUAGGAUUGUUUGUUGUUAGGGGGUUAAGGUUGUUUGUUGUUAGGAGGUUAGGGUUGUUUUUUGUUACAGGGUUAGGUUAGUUUCUUGUUAAGGGUUUAGUGUUGUUUAUUGUUAGGGGGUUAGUGUUUGUUGUUAGGGGUUUAGUGUUGUUUCUUGUUGGGGUUUAGUGUUUUUUGUUGUUAGGGUGUUAGUGUUGUUUGUUGUUAGGGGUUUAGGGUUGUUUGUUGUUAGGGGUUUAAGGUUGUUUGUUGUUAGGAGGUUACGGUUGUUUGUUGUUACGGGGUUAGGUUAGUUUCUUGUUAGGGGUUUAGUGUUGUUUGUUGUUAGGGGGUUAGUGUUUGUUGUUAGGGGUUUAGGGUUGUUUCUUUUUGGGGUUUAGUAGUUUUUGUUGUUAGGGUGUUAGUGUUGUUUGUGGUUAGGGGGUUAGUGUUGUUUGUUCUUACGGGGUUAGUGUUGUUUGUGGUUAGGGUGUUAGUGUUGUUUGUGGUUAGGGGGUGAGAGUUGUUGGUUGUUAGGGGGUUAGGAUUGUUUGUUGUUAGGGGUUUAGGGUUGUUUGUUGUUAGGGGGUUAAGGUGGUUUGUUGUUAGGAUGUUAAGGCUGUUUGUUGUUACAGGGUUAGGUUAGUUUCUUGUAAGGGGUUUAGUGUUGUUUGUUGUUAGGGGGUUAGUGUUUGUUGUUAGGGGUUUAGUGUUGUUUGUUGUUAGGGGUUUAAGGUUGUUUCUUGUUAGGAGGUUAGGGUUGUUUGUUGUUACGGGGUUAGGUUAGUUUCUUGUUAGGGGUUUAGUGUUGUUUGUGGUUAGGGGGUUAGUGUUGUUGUUUGUUAGGGGCUUAGGGUUGUUUGUUGUUAGGAGGUUAGGGUUGUUUGUUUUUACAGGGUUAGGUUAGUUUCUUGUUAGGGGUUUAGUGUUGUUUGUUGUUAGGGGGUUAGUGUUUGUUGUUAGGGGUUUAGUGUUGUUUCUUGUUGGGGUUUAGUGGUUUUUGUUAUUAGGGUGUUAGUGUUGUUUGUUGUUAGGGGUUUAGGGUUGUUUGUUGUUAGGGGUUUAAGGUUGUUUGUUGUUAGGAGGUUAGGGUUGUUUGUUGUUACGGGGUUAGGUUAGUUUCUUGUUAGGGGUUUAGUGUUGUUUGUUGUUAGGGGGUUUGUGUUUGUUGUUAGGGGUUUAGGGUUGUUUCUUGUUCGGGUUUAGUAGUUUUUGGGGUUAGGGUAUUAGUGUUGUUUGUGGUUAGGGGGUUAGUGUUGUUGUUUGUUAGGGGGUUAGGGUUGUUUGUUGUUAGGAGGUUAGGGUUGUUUGUUGUUACAGGGUUAGGUUAGUUUCUUGUUAGGGGUUUAGUGUUGUUUGUUGUUAGGGGGUUAGUGUUUGUUGUUAGGGGUUUAGUCUUGUUUCUUGUUGGGGUUUAGUGGUUUUUGUUGUUAGGGUCUUAGUGUUGUUUGUUGUUAGGUGUUUAGGGUUGUUUGUUGUUAGGGGUUUAAGGUUCUUUGUUGUUAGGAGGUUAGGGUUGUUUGUUGUUACGGGGUUAGGUUAGUUUCUUGUUAGGGGUUUAGUGUUGUUUGUUGUUAGGGGGUUAGUGUUUGUUGUUAGGGGUUUAGUGUUGUUUCUUGUUGGGGUUUAGUGGUUUUUGUUGUUAGGGUGUUAGUGUUGUUUGUUGUUAGUGGUUUAGGGUUGUUUGUUGUUAGGGGUUUAAGGUUGUUUGCUGUUAGGAGGUUAGGGUUGUUUGUUGUAACGGGGUUAGGUUAGUUUCUUGUUAGGGGUUUAGUGUUGUUUGUUGUUAGGGGGUUAGUGUUUGUUGUUAGGGGUUUAGGGUUGUUUCUUGUUGGGGUUUAGUAGUUUUUGUUGUUAGGGUGUUAGUGUUGUUUGUGGUUAGGGGGUUAGUGUUGUUGUUUGUUAGGGGCUUACGGUUGUUUGUUGUUAGGAGGUUAGGGUUGUUUGUUUUUACAGGGUUAGGUUAGUUUAUUGUUAGGGGUUUAGUGUUGUUUGUUGUUAGGGGGUUAGUGUUUGUUGUUAGGGGUUUAGUGUUGUUUCUUGUUGGGGUUUAGUGGUUUUUGUUGUUAGGGUGUUAGUGUUGUUUGUUGUUAGGGGUUUAGGGUUGUUUGUUGUUAGGGGUUUAAGGUUGUUUGCUGUUAGGAGGUUAGGGUUGUUUGUUGUUACGGGGUUAGGUUAGUUUCUUGUUAGGGGUUUAGUGUUGCUUGUUGUUAGGGGGUUAGUGUUUGUUGUUAGGGGUUUAGGGUUGUUUCUUGUUGGGGUUUAGUAGUUUUUGUUGUUAGGGUGUUAGUGUUGUUUGUUGUUAGGGGGUUAGUGUUGUUUGUUCUUACGGGGUUAGUGUUCUUUGUGGUUAGGGUGUUAGCGUUGUUUGUGGUUAGGGGGUGAGCGUUGUUGGUUGUUAGAGGGUUAGGAUUGUUUGUUGUUAGGGGGUUAAGGUUGUUUGUUGUUAGGAGGUUAGGGUUGUUUGUUGUUACAGGGUCAGGUUAGUUUCUUGUUAAGGGUUUAGUGUUGUUUGUUGUUAUGGGGUUAGUGUUUGUUGUUAGGGGUUUAGUGUUGUUUCUUGUUGGGGUUUAGUGUUUUUUGUUGUUAGGGUGUUAGUGUUGUUUGUUGUUAGGGGUUUACUGUUGAUUGUUGUUAGGGGUUUAAGGUUGUUUGUUGUUAGGAGGUUAGGGUUGUUUGUUGUUACGGGGUUAGGUUAGUUUCUUGUUAGGGGUUUAGUGUUGUUUGUUGUUAGGGGGUUAGUGUUUGUUGUUAGGGGUUUAGGGUUGUUUCUUUUUGGGGUUUAGUAGUUUUUGUUGUUAGGGUGUUAGUGUUGUUUGUGGUUAGGGUGUUAGUGUUGUUUGUGGUUAGGGGGUGAGAGUUGUUGGUUGUUAGGGGGUUAGGAUUGUUUAUUGUUAGGGGUUUAGGGUUGUUUGUUGUUAGGGGGUUAAGGUGGUUUGUUGUUAGGAGGUUAGGGCUGUUUGUUGUUACAGGGUUAGGUUAGUUUCUUGUUAGGGGUUUAGUGUUGUUUGUUGUUAGGGGGUUAGUGUUUGUUGUUAGGGGUUUAGUGUUGUUUCUUGUUGGGGUUUAGUGGUUUUUGUUGUUAGGGUGUUAGUGUUGUUUGUUGUUAGGGGUUUAGGGUUGUUUGUUGUUAGGGGUUUAAGGUUGUUUGUUGUUAGGAGGUUAGGGUUGUUUGCUGUUACGGGGUUAGGUUAGUUUCUUGUUAGGGGUUUAGUUUUGUUUGUUGUUAGGGGGUUAGUGUUUGUUGUUAGGGGUUUAGGGUUGUUUCUUGUUGGGGUUUAGUAGUUUUUGUUGUUAGGGUAUUAGUGUUGUUUGUGGUUAGGGGGUUAGUGUUGUUGUUUGUUAGGGGGUUAAGGUUGUUUGUUGUUAGGAGGUUAGGGUUGUUUGUUGUUACAGGGUUAGGUUAGUUUCUUGUUAGGGGUUUAGUGUUGUUUGUUGUUAGGGGGUUAGUGUUCGUUGUUAGGGGUUUAGUCUUGUUUCUUGUUGGGGUUUAGUGUUUUUUGUUGUUAGGGUGUUAGCGUUGUUUGUUGUUAGAGGUUUAGGGUUGUUUGUUGUUAGGGGUUUAAGGUUGUCUGUUGUUAGGAGGUUAGGGUUGUUUGUUGUUACGGGGUUAGGUUAGUUUCUUGUUAGGGGUUUAGUGUGGUUUGUUGCUAGGGGGUUAGUGUUUGUUGUUAGGGGUUUAGGGGUGUUUCUUUUUGGGGUUUAGUAGUUUUUGUUGUUAGGAUGUUAGUGUUGUUUGUGGUUAGGGUGUUAGUGUUGUUUGUGGUUAGGGGUGAGAGUUUUUGGUUGUUAGGGGGUUAGGAUUGUUUGUUGUUAGGGGUUUAGGGUUGUUUGUUGUUAGGGGGUUAAGGUGGUUUGUUGUUAGGAGGUUAGGGUUGUUUGUUGUUACAGGGUUAGGUUAGUUUCUUGUUAGGGUUUUAGUGUUGUUUGUUGUUGGGGGUUAGUGUUUGUUGUUAGGGGUUUAGUGUUGUUUCUUGUUGGGGUUUAGUGUUUUUUGUGGUUAGGGUGUUAGUGUUGUUUGUUGUUAGGGGUUUAGGGUUGUUUGUUGUUAGGGGGUUAACGUUGUUUGUUGUUAGGACGUUAGGGAGGUUUGUUGUUACAGGGUUAGGUUAGUUUCUUGUUAGAGGUUUAGUGUUGUUUGUUGUUAGGGGGUUAGUGUUUGUUGUUACGGGUUUAGGGUUGUUUCUUGUUGGGGUUUAGUAGUUUUUGUUGUUAGGGUGUUAGUGUUGUUUGUGGAUAGGGGGUUAGUGUUGUUGUUUGUUAGGGGGUUAGGGUUGUUUGUUGUUAGGAGGUUAGGGUUGUUUGUUUUUACAGGGUUAGGUUAGUUUCUUGUUAGGGGUUUAGUGUUGUUUGUUGUUAGGGGGUUAGUGUUUGUUGUUAGGGGUUUAGUGUUGUUUCUUGUUGGGGUUUAGUGGUUUUUAUUGUUAGGGUGUUAGUGUUGUUUGUUGUUAGGGGUUUAGGGUUGUUUGUUGUUAGGGGUUUAAGGUUGUUGUUAGGAGGUUAGGGUUGUUUGUUGUUACGGGGUUAGGUUAGUUUCUUGUUAGGGGUUUGGUGUUGUUUGUUGUUAGGGGGUUAGUGUUUGUUGUUAGGGGUUUAGUGUUGUUUCUUGUUGGGGUUUAGUGGUUUUUGUUGUUAGGGUGUUAGUGUUGUUUGUUGUAAGGGGUUUAGGGUUGUUUGUUGUUAGGGGUUUAAGGUUGUUUGUUGUUAGGAGGUUAGGGUUGUUUGUUGUUACGGGGUUAGGUUAGUUUCUUGUUAGGGGUUUAGUGUUGUUUGUUGUUAGGGGGUUAGUGUUUGUUGUUAGGGGUUUAGGGUUGUUUCUUGUUGGGGUUUAGUAGUUUUUGUUGUUAGGGUGUUAGUGUUGUUUGUUUUUAGGGGGUUUGUGUUGUUUGUUCUUACGGGGUUAGUGUUGUUUGUGGUUAGGGUGUUAGUGAUGUUUGUGGUUAGGGGGUGAGCGUUGUUGGUUGUUAGGGGGUUAGGAUUGUUUGUUGUUAGGGGUUUAGGGUUGUUUGUUGUUAGGGGGUUAAGGUUGUUUGUUGUUAGGAGGUUAGGGUUGUUUGUUGUUACAGGGUUAGGUUAGUUUCUUGUUAGGGGUUUAGUAGUUUUUGUUGUUAGGGUGUUAGUGUUGUUUGUUGUUAGGGGGUUAGUGUAGUUUGUUCUUACGGGGUUGGUGUUGAUUGUCGUUAGGGUGUUAGUGUUGUUUGUGGUUAGGGGGUGUGCGUUGUUGGUUGUUAGGGGGUUAGGAUUGUUUGUUGUUAGGGGUUUAGGGUUGUUUGUUGUUAGGGGGUUAAGGAUGUUUGUUGUUAGGAUGUUAGGGUUGUUUGUUGUUACAGGGUUAGGUUAGUUUCUUGUUAGGGGUUUAGUGUUGUUUGUUGUUAGUUGGUUAGUGUUUGUUGUUAGGGGUUUAGUGUUGUUUCUUGUUGGGGUUUAGUGGUUUUUGUUGUUAGGGUGUUAGUGUUGUUUGUUGUUAGGGGUUUAGGGUUGUUUGUUGUUAGGGGUUUAAGGUUGUUUGUUGUUAGGAGGUUAGGGUUGUUUGUUGUUACGGGGUUAGGUUAGUUUCUUGUUAGGGGUUUAGUGUUGCUUGUUGUUAGGGGGUUAGUGUUUGUUGUUAGGGGUUUAGGGUUGUUUCUUGUUGGGGUUUAGUAGUUUUUGUUGUUAGGGUGUUAGUGUUGUGUGUUUUUAGGGGGUUAGUGUUGUUUGUUCUUACGGGGUUACUGUUGUUUGUGGUUAGGGUGUUAGUGUUGUUUGUGGUUAGGGGGUGAGCGUUGUUGGUUGUUAGGGGGUUAGGAUUGUUUGUUGUUAGGGGUUUAGGGUUGUUUGUUGUUAGGGGGUUAAGGUGGUUUGUUGUUAGGAGGUUAGGGCUGUUUGUUGUUACAGGGUUAGGUUAGUUUCUUGUUAGGGGUUUAGUGUUGUUUCUUGUUAGGGGUUUAGGGUUGUUUGUUGUUAGGGGUUUAAGGUUGUUUGUUGUUAUGAGGUUAGGGCUGUUUGUUGUUACAGGGUUAGGUUAGUUUCUUGUUAGGGGUUUAGUGUUGUUUGUUGUUAGGCGUUUAGUGUUGUUUCUUGUUGGGGUUUAGUGGUUUUUGUUGUUAGGGUGUUAGUGUUGUUUGUUGUUAGGGGUUUAGGGUUGUUUGUUGUUAGGGGUUUAAGGUUGUUUGUUGUUAGGAGGUUAGGGUUGUUUUUUGUUACAGGGUCAGGUUAGUUUCUUGUUAAGGGUUUAGUGUUGUUUGUUGUUAUGGGGUUAGUGUUUGUUGUUAGGGGUUUAGUGUUGUUUCUUGUUGGGGUUUAGUGUUUUUUGUUGUUAGGGUGUUAGUGUUGUUUGUUGUUAGGGGUUUAGUGUUGAUUGUUGUUAGGGGUUUAAGGUUGUUUGUUGUUAGGAGGUUAGGGUUGUUUGUUGUUACGGGGUUAGGUUAGUUUCUUGUUAGGGGUUUAGUGUUGUUUGUUGUUAGGGGGUUAGUGUUUGUUGUUAGGGGUUUAGGGUUGUUUCUUUUUGGGGUUUAGUAGUUUUUGUUGUUAGGGUGUUAGUGUUGUUUGUGGUUAGGGUGUUAGUGUUGUUUGUGGUUAGGGGGUGAGAGUUGUUGGUUGUUAGGGGGUUAGGAUUGUUUAUUGUUAGGGGUUUAGGGUUGUUUGUUGUUAGGGGGUUAAGGUGGUUUGUUGUUAGGAGGUUAGGGCUGUUUGUUGUUACAGGGUUAGGUUAGUUUCUUGUUAGGGGUUUAGUGUUGUUUGUUGUUAGGGGGUUAGUGUUUGUUGUUAGGGGUUUAGUGUUGUUUCUUGUUGGGGUUUAGUGGUUUUUGUUGUUAGGGUGUUAGUGUUGUUUGUUGUUAGGGGUUUAGGGUUGUUUGUUGUUAGGGGUUUAAGGUUGUUUGUUGUUAGGAGGUUAGGGUUGUUUGCUGUUACGGGGUUAGGUUAGUUUCUUGUUAGGGGUUUAGUUUUGUUUGUUGUUAGGGGGUUAGUGUUUGUUGUUAGGGGUUUAGGGUUGUUUCUUGUUGGGGUUUAGUAGUUUUUGUUGUUAGGGUAUUAGUGUUGUUUGUGGUUAGGGGGUUAGUGUUGUUGUUUGUUAGGGGGUUAAGGUUGUUUGUUGUUAGGAGGUUAGGGUUGUUUGUUGUUACAGGGUUAGGUUAGUUUCUUGUUAGGGGUUUAGUGUUGUUUGUUGUUAGGGGGUUAGUGUUUGUUGUUAGGGGUUUAGUCUUGUUUCUUGUUGGGGUUUAGUGUUUUUUGUUGUUAGGGUGUUAGCGUUGUUUGUUGUUAGAGGUUUAGGGUUGUUUGUUGUUAGGGGUUUAAGGUUGUCUGUUGUUAGGAGGUUAGGGUUGUUUGUUGUUACGGGGUUAGGUUAGUUUCUUGUUAGGGGUUUAGUGUGGUUUGUUGCUAGGGGGUUAGUGUUUGUUGUUAGGGGUUUAGGGUUGUUUCUUUUUGGGGUUUAGUAGUUUUUGUUGUUAGGAUGUUAGUGUUGUUUGUGGUUAGGGUGUUAGUGUUGUUUGUGGUUAGGGGUGAGAGUUUUAGGUUGUUAGGGGGUUAGGAUUGUUUGUUGUUAGGGGUUUAGGGUUGUUUGUUGUUAGGGGGUUAAGGUGGUUUGUUGUUAGGAGGUUAGGGUUGUUUGUUGUUACAGGGUUAGGUUAGUUUCUUGUUAGGGUUUUAGUGUUGUUUGUUGUUGGGGGUUAGUGUUUGUUGUUAGGGGUUUAGUGUUGUUUCUUGUUGGGGUUUAGUGUUUUUUGUGGUUAGGGUGUUAGUGUUGUUUGUUGUUAGGGGUUUAGGGUUGUUUGUUGUUAGGGGGUUAAGGUUGUUUGUUGUUAGGACGUUAGGGAGGUUUGUUGUUACAGGGUUAGGUUAGUUUCUUGUUAGAGGUUUAGUGUUGUUUGUUGUUAGGGGGUUAGUGUUUGUUGUUACGGGUUUAGGGUUGUUUCUUGUUGGGGUUUAGUAGUUUUUGUUGUUAGGGUGUUAGUGUUGUUUGUGGAUAGGGGGUUAGUGUUGUUGUUUGUUAGGGGGUUAGGGUUGUUUGUUGUUAGGAGGUUAGGGUUGUUUGUUUUUACAGGGUUAGGUUAGUUUCUUGUUAGGGGUUUAGUGUUGUUUGUUGUUAGGGGGUUAGUGUUUGUUGUUAGGGGUUUAGUGUUGUUUCUUGUUGGGGUUUAGUGGUUUUUAUUGUUAGGGUGUUAGUGUUGUUUGUUGUUAGUGGUUUAGGGUUGUUUGUUGUUAGGGGUUUAAGGUUGUUGUUAGGAGGUUAGGGUUGUUUGUUGUUACGGGGUUAGGUUAGUUUCUUGUUAGGGGUUUGGUGUUGUUUGUUGUUAGGGGGUUAGUGUUUGUUGUUAGGGGUUUAGUGUUGUUUCUUGUUGGGGUUUAGUGGUUUUUGUUGUUAGGGUGUUAGUGUUGUUUGUUGUAAGGGGUUUAGGGUUGUUUGUUGUUAGGGGUUUAAGGUUGUUUGUUUUUAGGAGGUUAGGGUUGUUUGUUGUUACGGGGUUAGGUUAGUUUCUUGUUAGGGGUUUAGUGUUGUUUGUUGUUAGGGGGUUAGUGUUUGUUGUUAGGGGUUUAGGGUUGUUUCUUGUUGGGGUUUAGUAGUUUUUGUUGUUAGGGUGUUAGUGUUGUUUGUUGUUAGGGGGUUUGUGUUGUUUGUUCUUACGGGGUUAGUGUUGUUUGUGGUUAGGGUGUUAGUGAUGUUUGUGGUUAGGGGGUGAGCGUUGUUGGUUGUUAGGGGGUUAGGAUUGUUUGUUGUUAGGGGUUUAGGGUUGUUUGUUGUUAGGGGGUUAAGGUUGUUUGUUGUUAGGAGGUUAGGGUUGUUUGUUGUUACAGGGUUAGGUUAGUUUCUUGUUAGGGGUUUAGUAGUUUUUGUUGUUAGGGUGUUAGUGUUGUUUGUUGUUAGGGGGUUAGUGUAGUUUGUUCUUACGGGGUUGGUGUUGAUUGUCGUUAGGGUGUUAGUGUUGUUUGUGGUUAGGGGGUGUGCGUUGUUGGUUGUUAGGGGGUUAGGAUUGUUUGUUGUUAGGGGUUUAGGGUUGUUUGUUGUUAGGGGGUUAAGGAUGUUUGUUGUUAGGAUGUUAGGGUUGUUUGCUGUUACAGGGUUAGGUUAGUUUCUUGUUAGGGGUUUAGUGUUGUUUGUUGUUAGUUGGUUAGUGUUUGUUGUUAGGGGUUUAGUGUUGUUUCUUGUUGGGGUUUAGUGGUUUUUGUUGUUAGGGUGUUAGUGUUGUUUGUUGUUAGGGGUUUAGGGUUGUUUGUUGUUAGGGGUUUAAGGUUGUUUGUUGUUAGGAGGUUAGGGUUGUUUGUUGUUACGGGGUUAGGUUAGUUUCUUGUUAGGGGUUUAGUGUUGCUUGUUGUUAGGGGGUUAGUGUUUGUUGUUAGGGGUUUAGGGUUGUUUCUUGUUGGGGUUUAGUAGUUUUUGUUGUUAGGGUGUUAGUGUUGUGUGUUUUUAGGGGGUUAGUGUUGUUUGUUCUUACGGGGUUACUGUUGUUUGUGGUUAGGGUGUUAGUGUUGUUUGUGGUUAGGGGGUGAGCGUUGUUGGUUGUUAGGGGGUUAGGAUUGUUUGUUGUUAGGGGUUUAGGGUUGUUUGUUGUUAGGGGGUUAAGGUGGUUUGUUGUUAGGAGGUUAGGGCUGUUUGUUGUUACAGGGUUAGGUUAGUUUCUUGUUAGGGGUUUAGUGUUGUUUGUUGUUAGGGGUUUAGGGUUGUUUGUUGUUAGGGGUUUAAGGUUGUUUGUUGUUAUGAGGUUAGGGCUGUUUGUUGUUACAGGGUUAGGUUAGUUUCUUGUUAGGGGUUUAGUGUUGUUUGUUGUUAGGCGUUUAGUGUUGUUUCUUGUUGGGGUUUAGUGGUUUUUGUUGUUAGGGUGUUAGUGUUGUUUGUUGUUAGGGGUUUAGGGUUGUUUGUUGUUAGGGGUUUAAGGUUGUUUGUUGUUAGGAGGUUAGGGUUGUUUGUUGUUACGGGGUUAGGUUACUUUCUUGUUAGGGGUUUAGUGUUGUUUGUUGUUAGGGGUUAGUGUUUGUUGUUAGGGGUUUAGGGUUGUUUCUUGUUGGGGUUUAGUAGUUUUUGUUGUUAGGGUAUUAGUGUUGUUUGUGGUUAGGGGGUUAGUGUUGUUGUUUGUUAGGGGGUUAGGGUUGUUUGUUGUUAGGAGUUUAGGGUUGUUUGUUGUUACAGGGUUAGGUUAGUUUCUUGUUAGGGGUUUAGUGUUGUUUGUUGUUAGGGGGUUAGUGUUUGUUGUUAGGGGUUUAGUCUUGUUUCUUGUUGGGGUUUAGUGUUUGUUGUUGUUAGGGUGUUAGUGUUGUUUGUUGUUAGAGGUUUAGGGUUGUUUGUUGUUAGGGGUUUAAGGUUGUUUGUUGUUAGGAGAUUAGGGAGGUUUGUUGUUACAGGGUUAGGUUAGUUUCUUGUUAGAGGUUUAGUGUUGUUUGUUGUUAGGGGGUUAGUGUUUGUUGUUACGGGAUUAGGGUUGUUUCUUGUUGGGGUUUAGUAGUUUUUGUUGUUAGGGUGUUAGUGUUGUUUGUGGAUAGGGGGUUAGUGUUGUUUGUUAGGGGGUUAGGGUUGUUUGUUGUUAGGAGGUUAGGGUUGUUUGUUUUUACAGGGUUAGGUUAGUUUCUUGUUAGGGGUUUAGUGUUGUUUGUUGUUAGGGGGUUAGUGUUUGUUGUUAGGGGUUUAGUGUUGUUUCUUGUUGGGGUUUAGUGGUUUUUAUUGUUAGGGUGUUAGUGUUGUUUGUUGUUAGGGGUUUAGGGUUGUUUGUUGUUAGGGGUUUAAGGUUGUUUGUUGUUAGGAGGUUAGGGUUGUUUGUUGUUACGGUGUUAGGUUAGUUUCUUGUUAGGGGUUUAGUGUUGUUUGUUGUUAGGGGGUUAGUGUUUGUUGUUAGGGGUUUAGGGUUGUUUCUUGUUGGGGUUUAGUAGUUUUUGUUGUUAGGGUGUUAGUGUUGUUUGUUCCUAGGGGAUUAGUGUUGUUGUUUCUUAGGGCGUUAGGAUUGUUUGUUGUUAGGAGGUUAGUGUUCUUUGUUGUUACAGGGUUAGGUUAGUUUCUUGUUAGGGGUUUAGUGUUGUUUGUUGUUAGGGGGUUAGUGUUUGUUGUUAGGGGUUUAGUGUUGUUUCUUGUUGGGGUUUAGUGGUUUUUGUUCUUAGGGUGUUAGUGUUGUUUGUUGUUAGGGGUUUAGGGUUGUUUGUUUUUAGGGGUUUAAGGUUGUUUGUUGUUAGGAGGUUACGGUUAUUUGUUGUUACGGAGUUAGGUUAGUUUCUUGUUAGGGGUUUAGUGUUGUUUGUUGUUAGGGAGUUAGUGUUUGUUGUUAGGGGUUUAGGGUUGUUUCUUGUUGGGGUUUAGUAGUUUUUGUUGUUAGGGUGUUAGUGUUGUUUGUUGUUAGGGGGUUAGUGUUGUUUGUUCUUACGGGGUUAGUGUUGUUUGUGGUUAGGGUGUUAGUGAUGUUUGUGGUUAGGGGGUGAGCGUUGUUGGUUGUUAGGCGGUUAGGAUUGUUUGUUGUUAGGGGUUUAGGUUUGUUUGUUGUUAGGGGGUUAAGGUUGUUUGUUGUUAGGAGGUUAGGGUUGUUUGUUGUUACAGGGUUAGGUUAGUUUCUUGUUAGGGGUUUAGUAGUUUUUGUUGUUAGGGUGUUAGUGUUGUUUGUUGUUAGGGGGUUAGUGUUUGUUGUUAGGGGUUUAGUGUUGUUUCUUGUUUGGGUUUAGUGGUUUUUGUUGUUAGGGUGUUAGUGUUGUUUGUUGUUAGGGGUUUAGGGUAGUUUGUUGUUAGGGGUUUAUGGUUGUUCCUUUUUAGGAGGUUAGGGUUAUUUGUUGUUACGGGGUUAGGUUAGUUUCUUGUUAGGGGUUUAGUGUUUUUUGUUGUUAGGGGGUUAGAGUUUGUUGUUAGAGGUUUAGGGUUGUUUCUUGUUGGGGUAUAGUAGUUUUUGUUGUUAGGGUGUUUGUGUUGUUUGUCGUUAGGGGGUUAGUGUUGUUUGUUCUUACGGGGUUAGUGUUGUUUGUGGUUAGGGUGUUAGUGUAGUUUGUGGUUAGGGGUUGAGAGUUGUUGGUUGUUAGGAGGUUAGGAUUGUUUGUUGUUAGGGGUUUAGGGUUGUUUGUUGUUAGGGGUUUAAGGUUGUCUGUUGUUAGGAGGUUAGGGUUGUUUGUUGUUACGGGGUUAGGUUAGUUUCUUGUUAGGGGUUUAGUGUGGUUUGUUGCUAGGGGGAUAGUGUUUGUUGUUAGGGGUUUAGGGUUGUUUCUUUUUGGGGUUUAGUAGUUUUUGUUGUUAGGGUGUUAGUGUUGUUUGUGGUUAGGGUGUUAGUGUUGUUUGUGGUUAGGGGGUGAGAGUUGCUGGUUGUUAGGGGGUUAGGAUUGUUUGUUGUUAGGGGUUUAGGGUUGUUUGUUGUUAGGGGGUUAAGGUGGUUUGUUGUUAGGAGGUUAGGGUUGUUUGUUGUUACAGGGUUAGGUUAGUUUCUUGUUAGGGUUUUAGUGUUGUUUGUUGUUGGGGGUUAGUGUUUGUUGUUAGGGGUUUAGUGUUGUUUCUUGUUGGGGUUUAGUGUUUUUUGUGGUUAGGGUGUUAGUGUUGUUUGUUGUUAGGGGUUUAGGGUUGUUUGUUGUUAGGGGGUUAAGGUUGUUUGUUGUUAGGAGGUUAGGGAGGUUUGUUGUUACAGGGUUAGGUUAGUUUCUUGUUAGAGGUUUAGUGUUGUUUGUUGUUAGGGGGUUAGUGUUUGUUGUUAUGGGUUUAGGGUUGUUUCUUGUUGGGGUUUAGUAGUUUUUGUUGUUAGGGUGUUAGUGUUGUUUGUGGAUAGGGGGUUAGUGUUGUUGUUUGUUAGGGGGUUAGGGUUGUUUGUUGUUAGGAGGUUAGGGUUGUUUGUUUUUACAGGGUUAGGUUAGUUUCUUGUUAGGGGUUUAGUGUUGUUUGUUGUUAGGGGGUUAGUGUUUGUUGUUAGGGGUUUAGUGUUGUUUCUUGUUGGGGUUUAGUGGUUUUUAUUGUUAGGGUGUUAGUGUUGUUUGUUGUUAGGGGUUUAGGGUUGUUUGUUGUUAGGGGUUUAAGGUUGUUUGUUGUUAGGAGGUUAGGGUUGUUUGUUGUUACGGGGUUAGGUUAGUUUCUUGUUAGGGGUUUGGUGUUGUUUGUUGUUAGGGGGUUAGUGUUUGUUGUUAGGGGUUUAGUGUUGUUUCUUUUUGGGGUUUAGUAGUUUUUGUUGUUAGGGUGUUAGUGUUGUUUGUUGUUAGGGGGUUAGUGUUGUUUGUUCUUACGGGGUUAGUGUUGUUUGUGGUUAGGGUGUUAGUGUUGUUUGUGGUUAGGGGGUGUGCGUUGUUGGUUGUUAGGGGGUUAGGAUUGUUUGUUGUUAGGGGUUUAGGGUUGUUUGUUGUUAGGGGGUUAAUGUUGUUUGUUGUUAGGAGGUUAGGGUUGUUUGUUGUUACAGGGUUAGGUUAGUUUCUUGUUAGGGGUUUAGUGUUGUUUGUUAGGGGGUUAGUGUUUGUUGUUAGGGGUUUAGGGUUGUUUCUUGUUGGGGUUUAGUGGUUUUUGUUGUUAGGUGUUAGUGUUGUUUGUUGUUAGGGGUUUAGAGUUGUUUGUUGUUAGGGGUUUAAGGUUGUUUGUUGUUAGGAGGGUAGGGUUGUUUGUUGUUACGGGGUUAGGUUAGUUUCUUGUUAGGGGUUUAGUGUUGUUUGUUGUUAGGGGGUUAGUGUUUGUUGUUAGGGGUUUAGGGUUGUUUCUUUUUGGGUUUAGUAGUUUUUGUUGUUAGGGUGUUAGUGUUGCUUGUUGUUAUGGGGUUAGUGUUGUUUGUUCUUACGGGGUUAGUGUUGUUUGUGGUUAGGGUGUUAGUGUUGUUUGUGGUUAGGGGGUGAGAGUUGUUGGUUGUUAGAGGGUUAGGAUUGUUUGUUGUUAGGGGUUUAGUGUUGUUUGUUGUUAGGGGGUUAGUGUUUGUUGUUAGGGGUUUAGUGUUGUUUCUUGUUGGGGUUUAGUGGUUUUUGUUAUUAGGGUGUUAGUGUUGUUUGUUGUUAGGGGUUUAGGGUUGUUUGUUGUUAGGGGUUUAAGGUUGUUUGUUGUUAGGAGGUUAGGGUUGUUUGUUGUUACGGGGUUAGGUUAGUUUCUUGUUAGGGGUUUAGUGUUGUUUGUUGUUAGGGGGUUAGUGUUUGUUGUUAGGGGUUUAGGGUUGUUUCUUGUUCGGGUUUAGUAGUUUUUGGGGUUAGGGUAUUAGUGUUGUUUGUGGUUAGGGGGUUAGUGUUGUUGUUUGUUAGGGGGUUAGGGUUGUUUGUUGUUAGGAGGUUAGGGUUGUUUGUUGUUACAGGGUUAGGUUAGUUUCUUGUUAGGGGUUUAGUGUUGUUUGUUGUUAGGGGGUUAGUGCUUGUUGUUAGGGGUUUAGUCUUGUUUCUUAUUGGGGUUUAGUGUUUUUUGUUGUUAGGGUGUUAGUGUUGUUUGUUGUUAGAGGUUUAGGGUUGUUUGUUGUUAGGGGUUUAAGGUUGUUUGUUGUUAGGAGGUUAGGGUUGUUUGUUGUUACGGGGUUAGGUUAGUUUCUUGUUAGGGAUUUAGUGUGUUUUGUUGCUAGGGGGUUAGUGUUUGUUGUUAGGGGAUUAGGGUUGUUUCUUUUUGGGGUUUAGUAGUUUUUGUUGUUAGGGUGUUAGUGUUGUUUGUGGUUAGGGUGUUAGUGUUGUUUGUGGUUAGGGGGUGAGAGUUGUUGGUUGUUAGGGGGUUAGGAUUGUUUGUUGUUAGGGGUUUAGGGUUGUUUGUUUUUAGGGGGUUAAGGUGGUUUGUUGUUAGGAGGUUAGGGUUGUUUGUUGUUACAGGGUUAGGUUAGUUUCUUGUUAGGGGUUUAGUGUUGUUUGUUGUUAGGGGGUUAGUGUUUGUUGUUAGGGGUUUAAUGUUGUUUCUUAUUGAAGUUUAGUGUUUUUUGUUGUUAGGGUGUUAGUGUUGUUUGUUGUUAGGGGUUUAGGGUUGUUUGUUGUUAGGGGUUUAAGGUUGUUUGUUGUUAGGAGGUUAGGGUUGUUUGUUGUUACGGGGUUAGGUUAGUUUCUUCUUAGGGGUUUAGUGUUGUUUGUUGUUAGGGGGUUAGUGUUUGCUGUUAGGGGUUUAGUGUUGUUUCUUGUGGGGGUUUAGUAGUUUUUGUUGCUAGGG